rfam:Ictidomys tridecemlineatus contig061709, whole genome shotgun sequence.
GGGGACAUAGCUCAGUUGGUAGGGUGUUUGCCUCAUAUGCAAAAAGCCCUGGGUUCAAUCCCCAGCACCACCA